rnacentral:lncRNA from 1 species
CUAAUAGGUCAGGAAUAAUUUUUUGAUUAUUGUUCAUUUGUUUUGGAGCUUUCUUUGAGGUUCAGAGAAUAAUUUUAGGAGAUGAUCUGGAUCUUUCCUUUAACUGUAGUUUUUGAGUCCAUAGCCAAAGCCUGUUAUUUGUACAGUGACGACAGUUUAGUACACAGGAAAAAUAAGGGUUAUAUUCAUUGCAUGAUUGGUGUUUGUAUUUAAAAUAGUGUGUAUUUUAGUAAGAACAAGAUUGUGAUUCAACAUUGGUUUCAGUUUAGCGGAAAAAAUUGAGAUUGUGGUGUUUUGCUUUCUAGUGUUCUGUCCUAAGUUUAUGUGAAAAACAAAAGGCAAGCAGUGAAAUCUAGUGGAAAAGGAGGAAAACACAAACCUUCAUUUGUGUUAUGUGGUAUUAUAAAUAUUCCUGUGUUUAGAUUAAUAGAUCUUUACAGUGGAAUACUAUUUCAGAGCCAUAAAGAAUGUGUUAUAUCUGUGAGUGUUGGUCUGGAAAGAUAGUCUGUGAUAUGUAGAUAUAGGGGUGGAGGUGUGUCUGUGGG